UACGAGGGGGGCAAGCGUUGUUCGGAAUUAUUGGGCGUAAAGGGCGCGUAGGCGGUGCGGUAAGUCUGUUGUGAAAUCUCCGGGCUCAACUCGGAGUCUGCAUCAGAAACUGCCGUGCUCGAGUGUGGGAGAGGUGAGUGGAAUUCCUGGUGUAGCGGUGAAAUGCGCAGAUAUCAGGAGGAACACCGGUGGCGAAGGCGGUUCUCUGGGCCUUACCUGACACUGAGGAGCGAAAGCGUGGGGAGCGAACAGG
rnacentral:rRNA from 1 species